UACGAAGGGGGCUAGCGUUGCUCGGAAUUACUGGGCGUAAAGGGAGCGUAGGCGGACAUUUAAGUCAGAGGUGAAAUCCCGGAGCUUAACUUCGGAACUGCCUUUGAUACUGGGUGUCUUGAGUGUGAGAGAGGUAUGUGGAACUCCGAGUGUAGAGGUGAAAUUCGUAGAUAUUCGGAAGAAACACCAGUGGCGAAGGCGACAUACUGGCUCAUUACU
rnacentral:rRNA from 1 species